AGAGUUUGAUCAUGGCUCAGGAUGAACGCUAGCGGCAGGCCUAAUACAUGCAAGUCGAACGGUCAGCAAUGACAGUGGCGCACGGGUGCGUAACGCGUAUGCAACUUACCCAACAGUGGGGAAUAGCCCGGGGAAACCCGGAUUAAUACCGCAUAAGAUAAUUAGAUGGCAUCAUUUGAUUAUGAAACAUUUAUGGCUGAUGGAUGGGCAUGCGUAAGAUUAGCUAGUUGGUGGUGUAACGGACCACCAAGGCGAUGAUCUUUAGGGGUUCUGAGAGGAAGAUCCCCCACACUGGUACUGAGAUACGGACCAGACUCCUACGGGAGGCAGCAGUAGGGAAUAUUGGGCAAUGCCCGCAAGGGUGACCCAGCCAUGCCGCGUGCAGGAAGAAGGCCUUCUGGGUUGUAAACUGCUUUUGGAAGGGAACAAAACGGGCCUGCGGGCCAACUUGAGUGUACCUUCAGAAUAAGCACCGGCUAACUCCGUGCCAGCAGCCGCGGUAAUACGGAGGGUGCAAGCGUUGUCCGGAUUUAUUGGGUUUAAAGGGUGCGUAGGCGGCUUAUUAAGUCAGGGGUGAAAGACUAUUGCUUAACAAUGGCAGUGCCUUUGAUACUGAUAGGCUUGAGUACAGUUGAGGCAGAUGGAACGGGUGGUGUAGCGGUGAAAUGCAUAGAUACCAUCCAGAACACCGAUUGCGAAGGCAGUCUGCUAAACUGUAACUGACGCUGAGGCACGAAAGCGUGGGGAUCGAACAGGAUUAGAUACCCUAGUAGUCC
rnacentral:rRNA from 1 species